AUCUAUAUUUCAAUAUUGACACUACAAGAUCCAACCAUUUAUGAAGAAGAAAACAAACAUGAAUAAUCUACGAGACGAUUUUCUAUCUAGUUUUAUAUUUAAUUAAUCGGAUAUCUUUGAAAAGACUUUAUUAAUUUUGAGUAAAAAUAUGACAUCAAAACCUAACAAUUCUAAAGAGAUUGUGCAAAUUCAUUUUGUAAAUCAUCUGACUAUUUCUAAUCAAUGUGAAACUGUAAUCUAGUCUAAAAGAAUGUGUUGCCAAAUCUCAGGGCUUUUCUACAUGGUGGUGGUUAGUGAGAAUGACCUUUGUGACUUAUAUAGAGGAAGCAGGUCAUUUUAUUGGGGAGCUUUUUGAUCUUUGAAUUCUUGGAGGGAGUAUCUAUAGCUAAAUUGGAAAGAAAUUAGAGAAUUUCACCAUUAAGUUUGCAUCUUUCUACCUUUUCAAUCUUUAACUAUGUUUAUUAUUGCAUUUAAUCUUGUAUUUUCUUUUUCUUGCAUGAGUAGCUAAGGCCAUUAUCUGGGGUUGUUGACUCUUAUGGUUUUUGUAUGAUUGAAUACUAGUUUAUCUUGCUUAUUAUUAUUUGAGAUGUGAUUAUCUACUUGUUAGAUUCUUCUUUGUGAUCAAUUUGGUGGUUGCUAGCACUAGAUGAGGCCCUAACUAUGCAUUUCUUGCUUGAAAGAGUGGAAAUUGUAUUGAGUUUUUAAUGAGUAGUAAGGAAUCGAUUAUAUUGAGGAAUCGGUUGUGCUUGAUUAAUGAAUUGAACAUUUUCCCUACUGGUAAAUGUAGAAAAUGGGAGAUUCCUACUUGGAUCUAUCAACUGGGUCUUAAUAUUUUUCCUUGGGUUUGGAAGAACUUUUGGGAUUAGCUUCGUAGAGUUGGAAAAUUGUGAUAAGAAACUAUCAAUUGGAUCAUUUUCAUUGAUCCUAUGUAUUUGAGCAAGAUACUUGUGUUCGUGAACUAGUUAUGUCAUACUGAGGCUAUAAUCCUGGGGUUCCGCUCUUAAUUGAAAAACAAAACAUUGUUAUUGCACUCCAAAAUGUUCGAUUAAAUUCCUGACUUAGAAAAUAGUCUAGUUUUAGAAUUAAUUACUCAAUCACUCUUUCAUUUGAAGAAAACUUAGGACUUAUCAGUAGGUAGCAAUUGUGGUCAUCUGUUAGGUGGGAGAGGCAAGGGGCUUGUCUCAUAUCCUCUUCUCCUUAUUAUUAGUAGAAUUUAGCAAUCGCGCAGUUUCUUAUUCUUGUAUGUAUUUCUAUUAUCUGUUGCUUCAUUUUUCUUUGUAUCUUGAUAUGUUGUUGUCUUUUUUUAUUCUUCUUGCAAUCUUUCUCUGAGUAACCUCCCUUCUAAGCUGAAGGUCCAUUGGAAACAACCCAUCUACCCCACACAGGUUGCGUUAAGGUCUGUAUACAUCUUACCCUUCUCAGACCCACUUGUGGAAUUACAUUAGGUAUGUUGUUGUUUUUUUGCCUUGGAAGUCAAUCAAGGCUAAUUUUGUUUAAAGGGCUAUGCAUUGCCUGAACCAUUGCUGCUCGACUUUUGUUAUUGUUUCUUCUAGACAUGGCUUUCCUCAGUGUGAAGUAGUUAUGCAAUUGUUUUUUUGACUUUCUGAGUGAAAUAUGAAAUACCCUGAAAUUUUGAGUUGAAAAAUUCCAUUUUGUUCUUUUCACUAACGGAAUUAAUCUCAUUUUGUUUUGAGUUUGGCUUUUGGUUUUUAUUUUGGGGUUUUGAACUUGUACUUUGUUGACAGUUGAGUUCCCUCACCGAAUUGUUACAGAGAACUGAAAAUUUCAAAGUGCAAAUAUCAGUUGUAAGAUAGUUUUAAUUAGAUUUUUCCAGUAGUUAAUAACAAUCUUUGGUUGAAGAGAAGCAUAUCCUUGUCUGGUUAAGUCUACAAUGUUAAAGUGUAGUAUUAAGAGAAUGUGUUAACUUAAGAAAAACCUAUCAAAGUUAAAUGAUUAAAUAGUUGGUUUUAUUAGAAUUGGUAGCUGUUCUGAUUUUCUGAAAAUGUUCUUAGGGAACAUGAGGAACCGGCCUAACAUCUUUUCAAUUGAAAUUCCAAUCAAAGACAAGUUCUGACCGGUCAUAGUGCAGUAAAGAUUUUAAGUAAUCUAGUAUCCUUAUGCAUGAAGAUAAUCAAUUAGGUCGUUGUGGUCGGACUCCAUUCCCCUCCAGUUUUAUCAUAAAGACUGGAUUUUCAGCUAUUAAUCUCACUUAUUUCUUCACCGCUGGGCCGGGUGAGGAUGACUAAAGGAAUUUCCUUCUGGCCAUGAUUGCUGUCCACUUCUCUGCAUGUUGUCUUGAAAGAGCAUUACGAGCAUUGAAGGAAAGCCAAAUGAACACUUGCCAUUUAAGACUUCAGUAUUUUCAGUGAUGAAAUUUGAUGGUACUGAGGCUGAUGUUGAGCUGAUCCUACACCGAGACUGGGCUUCAUAACAUGUUGACGAAUUAAGGCCCCUGAACUGAGGAUUCGAUUAGUAGAAAGGACGACUUUGUCUCCUGCAAUAUCAUGCAAAAAAGCUCUAUCUUGGAUUAUUUUAGCCCACCCUCUAUAUGGGACUAAUAUAAAAGUACCUAUUAUCAUAAACAGGAUAGAAAAUAAUCCUCAUGGAAUAUCUCAGGAUCAUUAUCCUUUUUUUACCCCUGAUUUUUUUUUCCAGAAACUAAUCUGUUGUUUGUACAACAGGCUGCUGGCAAGUGGUAAGUAUCACAAAUUUUAGGGCCCGUUUGGCUAUGCGAUAUGGUAUCAUAAUAUGGAAUCAUGAUAUGGUACCAUGAUAUGAAAUCAUGAGACGAAAUUUAAGCUUUGUUUGGACA